rnacentral:rRNA from 1 species
UACGUAGGGUGCAGGCGUAAUCGGAAUUACUGGGCGUAAAGCGUGCGCAGGCGGUCUUUUAAGUCAGAUGUGAAAUCCCCGGGCUUAACCUGGGAACUGCGUUUGAAACUGGAAGGCUUGAGUGUGGCAGAGGGGGGUGGAAUUCCACGUGUAGCAGUGAAAUGCGUAGAGAUGCGGAGGAACACCGAUGGCGAAGGCAGCCCCCUGGGCUAACACUGACGCUCAUGCACGAAAGCGUGGGGAGCAAACAGG